rnacentral:lncRNA from 1 species
CUCCCUCUGUGCCGGAAAAGCCUCAGUAGAUGUGCAAUUUUUGUCUGCUGGGUGUGCCAUCCAGGCUCCAAGCCGCCCGAUGUCUCUCGUGCAACGCACAUCAAGUGACCUUCGAGGGAUCUCACAAGAACCUUUCUCUGCGCACCCCGUGAAUAUAUACAAAGACUGUUCUCUCUAUACCCUUUCGACUUGCUAUUUCAAACAGCUCUUUUGAUCUGCUCGGAAAAAUUUCUGAAAGCACGCCGGCUUCUUGCUCUUGACCCGGUCGUGGACGCGAGCGAGACCAACGACCAACCCCUAAAUCUGCCUCUCCAACGGGAAAACCAGUGUCGAUACGGAUCUACAAGCGUAAUCGGAUCAGGGGAAAGUGCGCGCAUAGACGCACGAAC